GCUCGAGCGGCGAACGGGUGAGUAACACGUGAGUAACCUGCCCUUGACUUUGGGAUAACUUCAGGAAACUAGGGCUAAUACCGGAUAGGAGCUCCUGCUGCAUGGUGGGGGUUGGAAAGUUUCGGCGGUUGGGGAUGGACUCGCGGCUUAUCAGCUUGUUGGUGGGGUAGUGGCUUACCAAGGCUUUGACGGGUAGCCGGCCUGAGAGGGUGACCGGCCACAUUGGGACUGAGAUACGGCCCAG
rnacentral:rRNA from 1 species